CGCACAGACGCACGGCCGCUGGCUGCUCAGCUGUCGCUGUUUUGCAUCACCAACGGAAUACAACCAGCAGUGCUAGCACCCCCUCCCUCUCCCACACCUCCUCCCCGCCCUCGCGCAUCGAUCACGUGUCAUGGCAGCGAUAGCGUCAAAGGACACCGCAGGGGCGGCUGCCGCGGAAAUAGAGUCGUGCAUGAACCCUUUAUUGCCUCCACAGGAGUCAUCCACGAGGGCACAUCAGUGGCGGCUCGUGGAUGUUGACAGAGACUCUGCAGCGACGGCACGCCCCGGCACCUCCGUGUGGUCCAUGGACUCUUUCAGAGAAUCCACUCUAAGCUCUCCGAGGAGCGACGACGUGGAGCUAGCGAUGGUAGCACCCGCUCUAUCGUGGAAGGAGGAACGGCGACAAGCGUCGGGGGCCGCCGCUGCUGACCGAAAAUCACCGCCAUUGUCAGGUGCCCCCCUGUCCUUGCAGGAUCAUGCGGCGAUAUCGCAUCGACUGCAGAACCUUCAGAUCAGAAACAGGGCACAGAGGCAGGCCGUGCGCAGCAGCGACGUGAAGGAGGAUGGCGCCGCCGCCGGUGAUGGCGAGUGCCGCUCUUUCACAAGGUGCGUGUUGCACUCGGAGGCCACAAUGGAGAAGCGGUCGGUCUCGGUGGCGAGAACCCCUAGCACCGCCGCGCCACAGCCUCGCCUAACCGGCGAGCACCCGCAGCGUGCGCCCCCAUCGCAGGCGCAGCAACCCCAUCCAAAGCAUUCGCCGUUGCUGUCCUUCUGCCAGUCCGCGCCUCACCAGCUGCCACUGCAGGCGGCGUGGGUCUCCGGUGGCGGCGGUGGCGGCCGUGCCGCCUUGAACCCAGGAGAUGAGCCACUUAGCACAGCGUACACAGCGGCGGCGACCUCGGAGGCGAACAGCACCACAUCAGGCAUCUUUCCUGCUUCGCAGUGGAUCCGGGCUACGCUGGGUGUCCUUCCAACGCGUUCUCGUCCCCACAAGGAGACGGUGGCCACAUCACCGUUGCCUCCACAACCGGUGACGUUGGCGUCUCGCAAGAACCCGCCUGCAGCACAGGCGGCCACGCAGCUGCACGAGCGUCGCGUGGCCGCGGCUCUGCAGUCCCAAAAGGAGAUGCGCGAGUUCAUGGUGAUCAUGCGGCGCAUGGAGGCUGCGGGCGGAGCCAACGCGGUACGUCGGCAAACACAUCAGCGCCGUCGCCGCGAGACGUGCGACGGUGCUGAGAAUGGCCUUUUGGCGUGUUGGCGCGCCUCGCACCAGGCCACCACGCCCCGAAGCAACAGCACAGUCAGCCAUCCAUCCGAGCAACCAUCGUUGCAUGGCAGCGCUGGGGCUGGUGACGGCGGCCGCGCCAGCAUGGACGGCGAGGGGACAGACAAAGACGAGGCCAGGUCCUCGGCCACCUUCUCCGAGAUGACGGAGCUCGACGAAGACGACCAUAUUGUCGCCACCCCCGGUCCCUACCUUCGCACGGGUAGUGCAGCUGGGCCUGUGCAGGCUACGCGGGUUCGCGGACGUCGCCGCGGAGCGCGCGGCGCUUCUGAAGUGGUGUCCUCCAAAACGUUAGCUGUCUCGGCGGAGGUAGCCGCUGCUGCAAACAUGUCCCGCAUGGCGGUCUACAAGCUGCGCGAUCGGACGGCGCGGGGGUGGGUCGCGCUGCAGCACAGACGGGUAGCGUGCAUGCGCGCCGGGACGCCGGUGCUACAGCGCGAGAUUCAAGCGAGUCAGCAACGACUGCUGCACGCCUACAAGGGCAACACAGAAGGUAGUGGUGCGGGUGUGCAGGCGCAAGCGGGGCCCCGCGAGGCCAUUGUGGAGGCUGCGACCACGGAUGACGGGCUGAUGAGCGUGGCAGGACUGCCAGAUGGUACACCGAAUCUCUUUAAGGUUCCGGUGGCCGGCAAUCUGAUGGCGCUGACCGUCUCGUGGGGCGGCAUCCCCGACGAUGUGCAGCCCGACGACGGCGCUGCCAGUAGCGAUGACGACAGCGUUGAUAGCGAUUUCUUGAACAUGAGGCACUCGGCGGCGAAUGCGAAGCGUGUGACGCAGGCACCAGCGGCGGACAGAGAGGCAGACGGGGUCAGGGGGAAGAAGAACAGCGGUGGCGGUAGUGGCGUCGGCGGCGGCAAGGACUCGGACCCACUUUGGUUUGGCGGUGAUACUCCCCUCGCGUUGAUCGCGGCGCCGGAUCAGCGUAGGACAUCGCUGGCGCGAUCCUCUUCUACGCUCAGCAACGGCACCUUGCGCACCGCCAACGCCCAGACGUUGACAUCCGCUUCGUGUCUUCUCGGUGGCGACGUGGCGACUCUAGAGCAGGCGGCCGACAACACCACGUGCCUCUCAGCGCGUGCGUCCGUGGCCGCUGCCGCACCUGAAGCUGCGGCAGCGGCCGAAGAGGAGCAGUACCUACGCAACGAGCUACAGCGACGCCUGGCACAGGCAAGCGAGUGCACCAUAUACGGGCUGCACAACGCGCUGUGCGGCACGCGGGGUGGCCACCCAUCCAAGCCUGCGAGGACGGCAGCUGCUGCUACAGACCCCGGAGUCGUUGUUGGUGGUGCUGAUGCGGCCCCGCUCAGCUCACCGGAGGUAGCGGCGCGCCGGCAUCACCUGGGACAGAGCGCUACGUCACCCGAUCUGCGAUUCCCAGCGCAGCAGACUUCGAGUCGGCGCACGUCUGUGAAGGUGCCUUCCAUCAUACAGACACGUAACGCCGCGAUCACAACCCCUGCGUCCGCGACAGCUGCCGGCGCGCUGGAGCGACGUGCCGAUGCAUCCCUCUUUCCCCCUGACUCCUGCGGCUCCCCGAAUCGGCGAAAGCGUCAGGGCCGUGCCCAACUCGGAAGCGACGCGGCAAACUCGAUGAGUAUACUCAGCUCUGUCCCCGCUGCGCCGCUCUCCACGCUGCUUUUACCCCUCGGGGGCGGCGGCGGCACGGCGGCGGCUGCGCGACCGCGCGCUGUGGCGGCACAGGCCAUCACCUCUGUGCCAUCUGCCUUCGGCGCGCAGACACCCGCGGACAGCCUUGCCGCCACCGCCGCCGUGCCACCGCCGUCCGGCCGCCCCCGACGCAAGAAGAGCUUUCCAAAGCAGAAGACCGUGCGCCGACACAAGCCGCUGCCGCCUGUCAUCGGCGUCGGCGAGCACGCAGCGGUGCUGCUCCAGCAGGAGUUGCUGGCUACGCGACGGUGGGAACUGGAGGCGGAGCAGGCGCACGCCCACGACAUUGAAUGCACCUGCGCCAUGCUGCAGCGACUGCGCCCGCUGCGAGAGCAGAUGAUGGCGUGCGACACGUGCCCGGGCACGCGGCGCACUGGCGCGGCGAAGCGUGUCGCUGAGGAGCCAACCAAUCCACUGCUGCUGAUGCGCAGCCGCACACUGCUAUCACAGAUGGCGACGCCACCGGACGCGGCGCUCGCGACGCCAACGCCGUUGCCGCCACCACCGCCGCCGGGGCUGUCGAAUGCACGACUCCGCAGCACCGCUGUAACUGCGAAGGGGAUAGCGGCAUCCCCGCCUCCGAGGCGCAACAAGGCGGACGCCGCCAUCGCCCGUUCGCACCUGCCGCAGGCGGUGCUGUGCCGUCAACGGCAGCUGAUCUACGACGAGGCGGUGCGGCUGGACACUGGGAACCGGCUCGAGGCGCACACCGCCUACCUUGAUGCCCUCACUCAACUCGCGCACAAGCACGUGCCCUCCGUGUCGUGGCCUGCGGUGUCAGCGCUCAUGAGCGAAUUACGCGAUCGCUUACAGCGCGAAGCGCAGCUGACGAUCGGCGCUCCGUCAGCCACAUGGGAUGGCACAGCUAGUAAGCCGACCGUGCAGGCGGCCGCGAUAUCGUCGUCCUCGUCGGCGCUGGCGCUGACGGCGACGAAGCCAACGGCGAGGCGACUCAGCUCAUCCUCCACGACGCCCUCACUGUUGCGGACCUCUGCGGCACUCCAAGCAAACCCACCAGCGCCACCGCCGUCCGCGCAACAGUAUGGUGGCCUGCAGCAGCUCAUCGCUACCCACCUCGGCGUGCUCGAGUUGACGCAAUGGCCGGUGCAGGAGGUGUUGCAGCACCUCGCAGCUCUCUAUCGCGUCCCGCUCUCCCUCCUGCACGAGUGGAUCGCGGAGCAGCAGCGGCGCUACUCGCGCCCGUACAGCUACGAAGAACGCUUUCUUGCAGUUGAUUGCACCAUUGCCGGGCGCGCGGCCACGGCCGACGCGGUGCUGCGACUCACGCUGCACCGCUGCCGUCGACCACCACUGGCACCGCUUCAAAUCUCGCCGAGGACGGCAGGUAGCGAGAGAACGGGCUACGUCAACGGCCUCCAGCAGCAGCAGCCUUCUGGAGAGGAAGGGGGCCUGUACUACAUUCGGGUGCGGUCGGCAGUGCAGUCCGUGGCGUCCACGGCGGUGCCGCUGAGCUUGACGGCAGCAGUCCCAUUCUCGGGGGCGGCCGCCCCCGUGCGCGCCUUUUCGGCGUCGUCCGGCAAAGGCGCGCACUCGUUGACGGUGCGCUCGCUCUCUGCGAUGGCCUCCGAUGCCUCCACGCUGCCGCCCUCAUCGUGUGCCAGGGCUCUCAACUUUCUCGGCCAGACCUUGAUUGUGAACUUGCUCUCCGCCGCCGCUACCGCCUCCGGCCGCUCGAGGGAUCACCGGCGCCGCACCGCGACCAGAGGAACCCUUAUCCACCGCAGCAAUGGCAGCAGCGGCGCUGACGCCGACGCGGAGACCGACGGCUCUGUACUGGUGGUGGAGCUGAUGCAGGCAGGUUGCACAACCCCUCUGGCGUGCGGGGAGCUAAACCUGCGCAAGCUCGGCUUCAACGCGCACAACACGAACAAUGGCGGCGGCGGCGGCGGUCGGAUGCGCGCGCAGAACGUGCAGAUCGCGCUGAGGCGCAAAGGCUACCGAAGCGCGAUGCUGAGGGCGACGCUGGAGAUGAUGUGAAAUGGUGGCGGCGGUGGUUCUGGUGCGUGCCUUCACCACCAUGUGAGGAUCUCCUUGGCGACGAUGUCGCAUGCAUCGUUCCUUCCUUUCCGUCUUUUGCGAUAUAUGUGCCGGUAUGCCUGCUUGCGCGUAUGAUGUACGCUAUACAAUGUAGAGAGAAGAGGGGGCAUGGGGCGAGCCAACACACAGGCGCUGACCUCUUCUACCAUCCUCCCCCCGCACGCGUUUCUGUGUCAGUUCUGUGUGCAACUGCCGCUUCUGAACACCAGGCCCCGCCCCUCCUCUCGUUCUCCCUUGCUCUCUCCGCAGAUUUGCUCAACUCGGUUGGCGCCCGGCAGGAGCACAGAAGGGUGAAGGGGCUGCCAGCAUCGUUUGGAGCAGAGAGGGGGUGAGAGAGCGGUGAGCCAGCGGGUGCCUGCCUGCCUUUCCGUCUCUCUCUCUCUCUAUCUCGCCCUCCUCUGUGGCGUGAACACGGACACAGGCGCGCAGGCAGCAGCACGCACGACGCGUGCUGGCGCUCCGCGAACGUGCGCUCAUGUAACAAAUAUGUGGUCCAUGGACUUGCGGUUUCCUUGUUUCUGGCUUGUUUCCCCCCGGCUCGCUUCUGCCGGCACACGCGCGCCUUUACGUGGCUUGUGCAGCCUCACGCUUCCUUCGCGGCCGCGUCG
rnacentral:misc_RNA from 1 species